rnacentral:sRNA from 1 species
AGAUUGAACAUUAGAAAAAUAGGUCAACACAGUUUUAUUGACUAACAUUAUUGGACAACAUUCUCUGUAGUUGUCUUAAUUUAUAUAAUAAAAGAGUGAAACAAAUAGCAUGAAGCAAAGAAAUAUUUCUUUAUUUACAAUCUUCUAAUUUUUCAAGCUAGUCUAGCAUAAGUUACCAGAGACUUGCAUCCCCAUAAAAGGACAAAAAAAAAGCUUUAAAAACUAGACUUGCGAUGAAUUUCAUGAAACAUGUCAGUCAAUCAAUGGCUAUAAAGAAUAGUCAUAUUUCUCAAUUGAAUUGACUACUGGAGUAGUUCAUGAUUUACGUAAAUAUAUCUUUGGAUUUUCAAGCAUUUUGUUUUCAGGGGAUAUUUGUCUGAAAUAAUACCUCUCACUGAGUCAAUGUCACCUUCUCCUAAACUUUAGUAUCUGAGACUGUUGGGGCACCAUACAUGACCGUCUUUCUCAUUCCUUUCUGUCUCUGGCCUUAACUAGAAUCUCUUUCAAUGACAGACCUGUUGCUGUUGUCUUAGCAUGGCUAUCUGCCAUUGUGUGAUCCUGGUUCAUUUGUGAUGUCUUUGUAGGUGAUACCUAGCACCUCACAUUCAUUACUAGGAACCUCCUCUCUACUUCUGCAGUUAGCAUCCAGGGAUUUACAAGUAUACAAGAAUGUGGCCAUGACCAAGGAGCACAUCUGCCUGAUUUUAGUGCUAAGGGCUAUGUCUUUAUCUUUCCAGAUUGUUUUGAGCUUUGCAAGUGCUGCUGUGGUCUGUGUAAUUCUGGCCAGUAGAUCAGGUUUGGUUCCUUUGUCUGAAGCAAUAUCUCUGAGAGUGCAAUGUUCAUCUUGAGAAGCUCAGUGUAAACCUUUCUUCAACACAAAGAUCAAAUCCUUUGAAAUGUGGUGGGUAUCAAGGAAGCAUGUCAAGAUUUAUCC